rnacentral:rRNA from 1 species
UACGGAGGGUGCGAGCGUUGUCCGGAAUCACUGGGCGUAAAGGGCGCGUAGGCGGCUUCUCAAGCGUGUGGUGAAAGUCCGGGGCUCAACCCCGGAUCGGCCGUGCGGACUGGGGAGCUCGAGUUCUGUAGAGGCGGGUGGAAUUCCGGGUGUAGCGGUGGAAUGCGUAGAGAUCCGGAAGAACACCAGUGGCGAAGGCGGCUCACUGGACCGGAACUGACGCUGAGGCGCGAAAGCGUGGGGAGCGAACAGG